AGUGAACGCUGGCGGUAGGCCUAACACAUGCAAGUCGAACGGCAGCACAGUAAGAGCUUGCUCUUACGGGUGGCGAGUGGCGGACGGGUGAGGAAUACAUCGGAAUCUACUUUUUCGUGGGGGAUAACGUAGGGAAACUUACGCUAAUACCGCAUACGACCUACGGGUGAAAGCAGGGGAUCUUCGGACCUUGCGCGAUUGAAUGAGCCGAUGUCGGAUUAGCUAGUUGGCGGGGUAAAGGCCCACCAAGGCGACGAUCCGUAGCUGGUCUGAGAGGACGAUCAGCCACACUGGAACUGAGACACGGUCCAGACUCCUACGGGAGGCAGCAGUGGGGAAUAUUGGACAAUGGGCGCAAGCCUGAUCCAGCCAUACCGCGUGGGUGAAGAAGGCCUUCGGGUUGUAAAGCCCUUUUGUUGGGAAAGAAAAGCAGCAGGUUAAUACCCCGCUGUUCUGACGGUACCCAAAGAAUAGGCACCGGCUAACUUCGUG
rnacentral:rRNA from 1 species